GACACAUUACAGAGAUACAGACACAUUAUAUAGAUACAGAGACAUUACAGAGACACAUUACAGAGAUACAGACACAUUACAGAGAUACAGACACAUUACAGAGAUACAGAGACAUUACAGACACAUUACAGAGAUACAGACACAUUACAGACACAUUACAGAGAUACAGACACAUUACAGACACAGACACAUUACAGAGAUACAGACACAUUACAGAGAUACAGACACAUUACAGAGAUACAGACACAUUACAGAGAUACAGACACUUUAUAUAGAUACAGACACAUUACAGAGAUACAGACACAUUACAGAGAUACAGACACAUUACAGAGAUACAGACACAUUACAGAGAUACAGACACAUUACAGAGAUACAGACACAUUACAGAGACAUUACAGAGAUACAGACACAUUACAGAGAUACAGACACAUUACAGAGAUACAGACACAUUACAGAGAUACAGACACAUUACAGAGAUACAGACACAUUACAGAGAUACAGACACAUUACAGAGACACAGACACAUUACAGAGAUACAGACACAUUACAGAGACACAUUACAGAGAUACAGACACAUUACAGAGACACAUUACAGAGAUACAGACACAUUACACAGACACAUUACAGAGAUACAGACACAUUACAGAGAUACAGUCACAUUACAGAGACAGACACAUUACAGAGAUACAGACACAUUAUAUAGAUACAGACACAUUACAGAGACAGACACAUUACAGAGAUACAGACACAUUACAGAGAUACAGACACAUUACAGAGAUACAGACACAUUACAGAGAUACAGACACAUUAUAUAGACACAGACACAUUACAGAGACACAGACACAUUACAGAGAUACAGACACAUUACAGAGAUAGACACAUUACAGAGAUACAUUACAGAGAUACAGACACAUUACAGAGAUACAGACACAUUACAGACAAAUUACAGAGACACAGACACAU
rnacentral:lncRNA from 1 species